NNUCUGUGCUUGUGUUUGUCUGCGCCGUGCAUGCGUGUGCGCCUGUCCAACUCCCGUCUU
rnacentral:snoRNA from 1 species